rnacentral:rRNA from 1 species
GCCAGACUCCUACGGGAGGCAGCAGUGGGGAAUAUUGCGCAAUGGGGGAAACCCUGACGCAGCAACGCCGCGUGAGUGAAGAAGUAUCUCGGUAUGUAAAGCUCUAUCAGCGGGGAAGAAAGAGGACGGUACCCGACUAAGAAGCCCCGGCUAACUACGUGCCAGCAGCCGCGGUAAUACGUAGGGGGCGAGCGUUAUCCGGAUUUACUGGGUGUAAAGGGAGCGUAGACGGCGUCGCAAGUCUGAAGUGAAAGCUCGUGGCUCAACCGCGGAACGGCUUUGGAAACUGUGGAACUGGAGUGCUGGAGAGGCAAGCGGAAUUCCUAGUGUAGCGGUGAAAUGCGUAGAUAUUAGGAGGAACACCAGUGGCGAAGGCGGCUUGCUGGACAGUAACUGACGUUGAGGCUCGAAAGCGUGGGGAGCAAACAGGAUUAGAUACCCCGGUA